rnacentral:rRNA from 1 species
GACGGAGGAUGCAAGCGUUAUCCGGAAUGAUUGGGCGUAAAGCGUCCGCAGGUGGCAGUUCAAGUCUGCUGUCAAAGACCGGGGCUUAACUUCGGAAAGGCAGUGGAAACUGAACAGCUAGAGUAUGGUAGGGGCAGAGGGAAUUCCUGGUGUAGCGGUGAAAUGCGUAGAGAUCAGGAAGAACAUCGGUGGCGAAGGCGCUCUGCUGGACCAUAACUGACACUCAGGGACGAAAGCUAGGGGGCGAAUGGG